CUCCCAUCUUGGGACCACUCCCCCCACACCGCGUGCUUUCAUUCUCGUCUAGCUCUUUACUCUGGACAACCUGGGAAGAUGCUGAAUGCCCUAAGUCUGCACCCAGCUUUCCUUCUGGAGAAAACCAAGAUGUAAGAAAAUGCAACUUCAUCUCUCAGGGUUUUCCUCCUUCACAUGGGAAUGCACUCUACCUCACCCAACAGGCAUCAGAUACUGAUUUUCCUUCCAAGUACACAUAAGGACUAACAAAAAGUAACAAAUGCUGUUGUGGGGAUAAGCAAAGGAU